UAACUUUCUCCGACUUUCUAGGACGUGUUUUAUGCCACUUUUUCUGUCUCAUUUUGUCCGCCACACUUCCAACGUUGUGCGUGAGUGCACAAAGACUCCAGACGCUGGCUUUCAUUCUGCAUGCUGAUGAAGACAUCUUGCUAAUACUCAUUUGUAAUUCCUGCGCUAUUUCAUUGUCGGAACAUCGGAGGAACGGCAUAUCUUGUGAUGCAUCACGGACGGACAGGAUCAAUCCUAGCUUGUGAGAAGUGACUUCAUCUUAGAAAAGGUUGCAGCAAAUACAACUGAAGAAGUGGUCAGCCUGCAGACAUUUGGCAAGAUGAGGAGAGUCUGGACCUCCCUGUCAAAUUGACGUGGCCGAGCGAGAGGGGUGGGAUUUGCGGCGAUCAUUUUAAGGAUUCUGACUUGGAAGAGGUAAAAGUUUUGGGUGGAGUUUGGAUACAAACAUUUUUUAAAUAUUCAGGCCAAAUGCCAUACCAAGAUUCAGAAGCUCCCUCAAGGGGAGAAAGACAAAAAGAAAGAUAAAAAGACAAAAAUAAAUGAAUAAAAAAGAGCAGACCUGACCGUCAAAAAUGUGAGACAAAGAAAGCAAACCUAGUAUUCUAUUUUGUGUCCUCUUCUACUGAUGUUUUCCUCAAGAUACUUGAGGAAAUGCAGAAAGAGCAUGAGGAAACACACCAUAAUAAUCUCCUCUUGGAGAUGGAAGAGCAGUGAAGUCUGGAAAUGGCGAUUCUUUUGUAUUACUUUUUUGCUCAUAACACUAACUAUUUCUGUUUUGAAGUAAUAAUGGACCAGGGCGACAAAAAAUAUACUAUUAAGUGACCAAAAUAGUAGUUUUACAUGCCUUUAUUUACAAACCCCGUUUCCAUAUGAGUUGGGAAAUUGUGUUAGAUGUAAAUAUAA